rnacentral:rRNA from 1 species
CGGAAGGAUCAGUAGGGAAUAAAUAGGGUGUACAAUUUAUCUUGGAACCCGCCUUUCUCACAUCUAUCCCGGUCCAUAGGUAUAUAAUGGGGAGCAACUUUCGAAUUGUGAGGCAUUUCUCAUUAUAAACACUAGUCUAUGAAUGUAAAAUUUUUAUAUCAAUAAAAUCUUUCAACAUCGGAUCUGUUGGCUUUCCCAUCGAUGAAGACCGCAGCGAAAUGCGAUACGUAAUGUGAAUUGCAGAAUUCAGUGAAUCAUAGAAUCUUUGAACGCAUCUUGCCCUAUUUGGUAUUCUGGAGAGCAUGUCUGUUUGAGUGUCAUGAAUUCUUCAACCCAACUGUUUCUUGUAAACAGCUGCCCAUCUGGAUCCUGAGGGCUGCUGGCUUCGCGCCCACUUCCCUCGGAAUACAUCACCAUCCCUAAUACAAGUUUGCAUUGACUUGCCGCAAUAGACUAUUCCCUAAGGAUCCGAUGUUCUGCAUUGACCCGACUUAGUUAAAGAAGCUUCUAAUUGAAAAGUCUACCUUUAGAUUACAUCUCAAAAUACCCAGGAUUACCCGCUGAACUUAAGCAUAUCAAAAA